rnacentral:rRNA from 1 species
UACAGAGGUCUCAAGCGUUGUUCGGAUUCAUUAGGCGUAAAGGGUGCGUAGGCGGCGCGGUAAGUCGGGUGUGAAAUCUCGGAGCUUAACUCCGAAACUGCAUUCGAUACUGCCGUGCUUGAGGACUGGAGAGGAGACUGGAAUUUACGGUGUAGCGGUGAAAUGCGUAGAUAUCGGGAGGAACACCUGUGGCGAAAGCGGCUCACUGGACCACAACUGACGCUGAGGCGCGAAAGCUAGGGGAGCAAACAGG